rnacentral:rRNA from 1 species
GAUGAACGCUAGCUACAGGCUUAACACAUGCAAGUCGCGGGGCAGCAUGGGGGUUGCUUGCAAUCCCCGAUGGCGACCGGCGCACGGGUGAGUAACGCGUAUCCAACCUGCCCUUCACCACGGGAUAACCCGGCGAAAGUCGGACUAAUACCGUAUGUUGUCCAUUGACGGCAUCCGAUUUGGACGAAAGGCUGGGCGGUGAGGGGGGGGGAUGCGUCCGAUUAGCCAGACGGCGGGGUAACGGCCCACCGUGGCUACGAUCGGUAGGGGUUCUGAGAGGAAGGUCCCCCACACUGGAACUGAGACACGGUCCAGACUCCUACGGGAGGCAGCAGUGAGGAAUAUUGGUCAAUGGGCGUAAGCCUGAACCAGCCAAGUAGCGUGCAGGAUGACGGCCCUAUGGGUUGUAAACUGCUUUUAUGCGGGGAUAAAGUGGCCCACGGGUGGGCUUUUGCAGGUACCGCAUGAAUAAGGACCGGCUAAUUCCGUG